AUGACAAGUGCCAAGUGGCGCCAAGGCAUGUCGGAGGUGGCACCAUGGUUUUUGGAAGAGGGGGGCCGGCCUGCCGGGAUUCAUCAGCACAUAGUUGCCCCACCUAUCAGGAUAGGUAAACGCAUCUCGAUUUCUCGAGGAAUGUCUUACCUGUUCCAUUUAAAUGUGAUUCAUGCUGAUGCUUCCAUGAAAGAUAUCAUCAUCGGUGCAAAAUGGAAUCUACUACUCCCUCCGUUCCAUAAUUCUUGUCAUGGUUUUAGUUCAAAUAAAUUAAAACCACGACAAGAAUUAUGGAACGGAUACUAG
rnacentral:rRNA from 1 species